rnacentral:tRNA from 1 species
CUUUUAAGGGAUAGAAGUCAUCCACUGGCUUUAGGCGCC